AUUGAACGCUGGCGGCAGGCCUAACACAUGCAAGUCGAACGAGUGGCGGACGGGUGAGUAAUGUCUGGGAAACUGCCUGCUGGCGGGGGAUAACUACUGGAAACGGUAGCUAAUACUGCAUACCAUCAGAUGUGCCCAGAUGGGCUUAGCUAGUUGGUGGGGUAACGGCUUCCCAAGGCGACGAUCCCUAGCUGGUCUGAGAGGAUGACCAGCCACACUGGAACGGAGACACGGUCCAGACUCCGACGGGAGGGAGCAGUGGGGAAUAGUGCACAAUGGGCGCAAGCCUGAGGCAGCCAUGCCGCGUGUAUGAAGAAGGCCUUCGGGUUGUAAAGUACUUUCAGCGGGGAGGCGUUACCCGCAGAAGAAGCACCGGCUAACUCCGUGCCAGCCGCCGCGGUAAUUC
rnacentral:rRNA from 1 species